rnacentral:tRNA from 1 species
GGAGAGGUCGCAUAGUGGACGAGUGCGGUAGUCUUGAAAACUACUAAGAGCGCAAGUUCUUCGCGAGUUCGAAUCUCGCCCUCUCCG